AUGGCCUGUACAUCUAUAUGGUUGUCAUAUUCUCCUUUGUUUUUGCAGAACAGUGACAGUCUGAUACACAAGGCACUCAAAUUGCCAAAUGCUAAAUAUAGUUGUCUUCGCAGAGACCGGAUUGAAGAGAAGUAUCAAUACCAACUAACACCAGAAGAAACAAUUAAAUAAACUGGGAACGUGAAAGAUUUAAGCCAAAUGAUAGGCAUUGGUUCAGUAUUGAUAGCAACUGUGGCAUUCGGGGCGACCUUUGCUGUUCCUGGAGGUUUCAUAGCCGACGAUCAUACCAAUAGAGGCACACCAACACUUGCCGGGAGGUAUACGUUUGACGCAUUCAUGAUGGCGAAUGCAUUAGCUUUUAUUUGCUCCUUAAUAGUUACCGUUGGUCUCAUGUUUUCUGGAUCUUCCAUGCAUAACCUGGUGAGCCGCCGCAUGUACUUGAGCGCCUCUGGGUUCUUCAUGACAAGUUCUCUCAUAAGCUUAUCUGUUGCUUUUGCUCUGGGAGUGUAUAUGGUGCUAGCUCCGGUUGCUCAUGCCACUGCCAUUGUUAUCUGUGUGCUUAGUCCUCUCGUGGUGCUAUAUAGAAAUUUUGAAAUCUUACUGAAGUUUACUAUUCUUGCACGACCAAUUUUUAUGGACCUGCUUUUAUACCUUCCCCUGUUCUACCUUUGGCUUCAGAUCUCCCACCUUUCGUUUGAUGAACCAAAGGUGCUGGAAGGCUGGCACUGA
rnacentral:rRNA from 1 species